AGCAGCCGCGGUAAUUCCAGCUCCAAUAGCGUAUAUUAAAGUUGUUGCAGUUAAAAAGCUCGUAGUUGAAUUUCGGGAUCAAUAUGUUGGUCGUGCCUCGGUACGUACUAGCUUAUUGGUUUCUCCUUUCUGAAGAACCAUGAUGUCAUUUAUUUGGUGUCGUGGGGAAUCAGGACUGUUACUUUGAAAAAAUUAGAGUGUUUAAAGCAGGCUCACGCUUGAAUACAUUAGCAUGGAAUAAUGAAAUAGGACGUUUGAUUCUAUUUUGUUGGUUUCUAGGAUCGACGUAAUGAUUAAUAGGGAUAGUUGGGGGCAUUAGUAUUCAAUUGUCAGAGGUGAAAUUCUUGGAUUUAUUGAAGACUAACUACUGCGAAAGCAUUUGCCAAGGAUGUUUUCAUUAAUCAAGAACGAAAGUUAGGGGAUCGAAGACGAUCAGAUACCGUCGUAGUCUUAACCAUAAACUAUGCCGACUAGGGAUCGGAUGAUGUUAAUUUUUAAUGACUCAUUCGGCGU
rnacentral:rRNA from 1 species